GAUGAACGCUAGCUACAGGCUUAACACAUGCAAGUCGAGGGGUAGCAGGGUAGCAAUACCGCUGACGACCGGCGCACGGGUGAGUAACACGUAUCCAACCUUCCCAUAACUCAGGGAUAGCCUUUCGAAAGAAAGAUUAAUACCUGAUAGUACUUUUUUAAGGCAUCUUGAGAAAGUUAAAGAUUUAUUGGUUAUGGAUGGGGAUGCGUUCCAUUAGAUAGUUGGUGAGGUAACGGCUCACCAAGUCUUCGAUGGAUAGGGGUUCUGAGAGGAAGGUCCCCCACAUUGGUACUGAGACACGGACCAAACUCCUACGGGAGGCAGCAGUGAGGAAUAUUGGUCAAUGGGCGAGAGCCUGAACCAGCCAAGUAGCGUGAAGGAUGAAGGUCCUAUGGAUUGUAAACUUCUUUUAUAGUAGAAUAAAGUGACCUACGUGUAGGUUUUUGUAUGUAUACUAUGAAUAAGGAUCGGCUAACUCCGUACCAGCCGCCGCAGUAAGAC
rnacentral:rRNA from 1 species